GAUGAACGCUGGCGGCGUGCCUAAUACAUGCAAGUCGAGCGAACAGACGAGGAGCUUGCUCCUCUGACGUUAGCGGCGGACUGGUGAGUAACACGUGGAUAACCUACCUAUAAGACUGGGAUAACUUCGGGAAACCGGAGCUAAUACCGGAUAAUAUAUUGAACCGCAUGGUUCAAUAGUGAAAGACGGUUUUGCUGUCACUUAUAGAUGGAUCCGCGCCGCAUUAGCUAGUUGGUAAGGUAACGGCUUACCAAGGCGACGAUGCGUAGCCGACCUGAGGGGGUGAUCGGCCACACUGGAACUGAGACACGGUCCAGACUCCUACGGGAGGCAGCAGUAGGGAAUCUUCCGCAAUGGGCGAAAGCCUGACGGAGCAACGCCGCGUGAGUGAUGAAGGUCUUCGGAUCGUAAAACUCUGUUAUUAGGGAAGAACAAAUGUGUAAGUAACUAUGCACGUCUUGACGGUACCUAAUCAGAAAGCCACGGCUAACUACGUG
rnacentral:rRNA from 1 species